UCUCCGUAGGUGAACCUGCGGAGGGAUCAUUACAGAGUUCAUGCCCUACCGGGUAGAUCUCCCACCCUAUGUUAUUAUUACUUUGUUGCUUUGGCGGGCCGUUAGGCUCCGGCCCGACUACCGGCCCCGGCUGGUAAGCGCCCGCCAGAGGACCCAAAACCCUGAAUAUUAGUGUCGUCUGAGUACUAUACAAUAGUUAAAACUUUCAACAACGGAUCUCUUGGUUCUG
rnacentral:misc_RNA from 1 species